rnacentral:lncRNA from 1 species
UCCAAGCAAAAAAACUGGGGACAGAAUUACAUGAUAAGAUCUACAGGCCACCAAGCAAAAUGUUUUAACUGUUUAUCAUGAUGCACUUGUACAGCACCGUGCUUGAAGGAGGCUUACAACACAAAGUAUUAGUCUUGAGAGACGGAGAACAACAUACAACAUGUCACGUCAAAGUUUACAGGUCACAGAGAUCUCCAUCCAAAACUGAGCCGAUCUCAUUGCAGGUUUCGAUAUGCUAGCAUAGGGCGGAGGGGCGUGCUAUGAUGGCUAUGACUACGAGAAGGUGUCCUCCCUGUCCCCCUCGGCGACCUCACCCUCCUCAAUGUUGCUGAACUCCAGGAAGUGCGUCGGCCUGUGGUCCUCAUGGUAGAAGUCGCGGGGUGUGCCCAGCUUCAUGCUGUACUUCAUCAGCGGGUCGUGCUUGACUCCCAUGAAGUUGUAGUUCCACGGAGCGUUGUCCGGAACCUGGUGGGAGACAAAGGUGAAGUGAGUAUUCCGAACUCGAGUUGGCUCUAAAGAACAAUUUGCAAAUAUUAAUCCUGUCAAGAUGAGUACACAUACCAUGUAGAAUCCAAGGAAGCGGUCGCUGAGAAGCAUCUGGACCUUCUCGUAGUGAGUUGGGAGGUACCCUUGUGGGUUGCUCCCGUUGUCCUUGUUGCCACGGGCCCACUCAUAACCACUUGGUGUCAAUUUGUAUGCAGUCAACGAGCACGAUCCUGGGGUGAAGCUGCAGGUCAAAAUGAUGCACUUCUCACCAUCCCACUGCUUGUUGUUCUCCAAAAUUUUAGCAUGUGAUGUCAAAUCCUG